UACGAAGGGUGCAAGCGUUACUCGGAAUUACUGGGCGUAAAGAGCGUGUAGGCGGCCCGGUAAGUCCGCUGUGAAAGUCCAGGGCUCAACCCUGGGAUGCCGGUGGAUACUGUCGGGCUCGAGUCCGGAAGAGGAGUGUGGAAUUCCGUGGUGUAGCAGUGAAAUGCGUAGAUAUCAGGAGGAACAGCCGAUGGCGAAGGCAGGUCUCUGGGCUGACACUGACGCUCAUGCACGAAAGCGUGGGGAGCAAACAGG
rnacentral:rRNA from 1 species